CGCUCGUCCCACUUGGCAUAUCCACCGGGAACAUCCCGACAUCGUGGGCAUCUCGUCACACAUCACGAGGGGCCUCAAUCUGGACAUGCUCAACUCGGAUCCACAAUUGAGCCUCGCGCAUCAGCUCCAUUCGGUUUGCCUCCACAAGUCGCCGCCCCAGGAAAACAGGUGGCACAUGGCAGGAGAACCACAACAGAAGGAGGAUCAGGAGCAACGAGAAAUCCCCAACGGCUUUACUGACCCUGCGACUAUCGGAAUGGCCACGACGGCAAGGAGCGUCAAGUAAGUUUGUUCAAAAUUAUUUUUAACAUGUUUGCGCGUCAUUCAUCUUUGGUGUUUUUACUGGUCGAGCGCCGAGAGGAGGAAAUGGAAAACCAAUCCUGGCGCCGUCCGCACAACACAAGGAAAAGGAAAAUUGAAAAGAAGGAGACCCACACCGAGCAGAAGAACAAGGGAGUCGCCAAUAACAAAGAAGAGAAAAAUGAAUCCCAAAGAACCCCCGACAACGGAAAGUAGUAAUGAGUCUACGGCUAAACCAGCAGAGCCCAAUGUAAAAACUACAUCUAGAGGCGCCCUGGCGAAACGUAAAAUUCCAAAGCGCAAAAGGACACGGAACACUUACUCGGCCAGGAGAAGGAGAAAUCAAUCUGCGAGGAAAUUGAAGGCAGCGAACACCGGAGAAUGGAACAACCAAAUUCAGCCAUCCUCCGAAAUGACCGAGCGCAGUGGUGCGGGCAAUGACAACACCCAAAAACACAAAGAUAAGACGUGACGGUGUCUACGAUCAAAACACCUUCCUAAAAAUAAGAGGAGCCUGGUCCAGCAGAAGCUCCAAACCGAGCGAGGCAACCAAAGCCAACCCCGAUUGGAGAAGGGCACGAUCUGUUGACUGCCCUGACGGUGUCUACGCAGACUGAUAAAUUCCCGGUGGCAGUCCAGGAAUUUGGUUUCAAGGACUGCGAGGAGUCUUCAAAUGAUACAGAUGCGAAAGAAAAAGGGAUAGCCAAUCAGCAACGAGCAAUGACCAGCCGUGGCUUCGACACGCAGUACCGCCGAGUACCGGCAGAUGUCAGUAAAAGACAAAGAUUUACUCACUUGCUCAUUAAAUUUAUGUGCUUUUCCGCUGGUGCGGAUUA